AAAAUGACGACUAAAUCCAAAAUGCCCAGCCGGCGCCGCCUGAUGACUUUGGCUGUGAAGGGUAAUUGAUUGGCGGGGAUUAUCCCCUUCCAAGUCACCUGCCCAUGGAGCCAAGAAUGACAGAGGUGCACAGCUAUGCAGGGAGCUAAACACACAUUCGCUGAGGGUUGAAGGCAGGAGAUGGCCUUUGAAGUUUUUACUGGAAGAAGUGGUGAAAAUAUCAGAAUGUUCAAGUAAGAAAGAGAAACUCUAUUUCUGUCUUUAAUGGAACAGAAGCCAUAAUUAUCCAUUCUUAUUCUGUGGACAACUUAUAAUAUGCAACAUUUUGCUUUGAAACAGGGAGUACAUACUCCUCACCUGGCCAAAGACACGUGUUACAUCCAAGUGUUACAUGUACUUGGGCUGAAUAUCUGAAUGUUCCCAUUGGCUAACCCCUGGUCAUGACAUUUCCGCAGAUGUUAAAAAAUGAACCACGAUCCAAGCUAGAGUACAGUGAGCAGCACUGACCUUCACUGUGUUUGUAAAUGUUGAGCUGUCACUGUUAAUGUAUUGGCACUUUUCACCUUUGUUGUCUUGGCUGCCAGCUUUUUACCUUUAAUAGAUACUGUACAAGGGAACAUACGGAAGGAUAUUGAGACUCUGGAAAAAAAAAUGAAGUGAAAUCAGGGGUCAAUACAUUAUACGUAAUGGUGAACGGGAACGUCAUUAUUUGCUGUGGGGAGAAGAAGAAAAGGAGACUGAAACACUGACCAUGACUACCUGCUAAAAAAUGUAGUCAGUAACCUAAUCCGAGUAUCACGAUAUUAAAG
rnacentral:lncRNA from 1 species